AAUUUAAAAAUUUAAAAAUAUCCUUUGCAAAAGAUAAAUUCUCAUACAAUUGAACUUAAAAUUUGAAAUUGGAGUAGACAAGGAGUUUUCCCUUGCAUCAUUUAAUGGCGCGAAUAAAAAUUUGCAUUGGAAAAACAAAUAUUCCUUUUGUCAAACUUUCGAGGGGUUUCCUCAAAAGUUUGGAAUCACUGUGUGUUGCAAGGUGUUACCUCCCUCACAUAAUUUAUCUGUUUUGAAAUUUAAUUUGAUUGGAUCUGACAUUAAACAUGUUAGCGUUAGUUGCAUUUCUCUCUUAACUCUUCACCAUUCAUCUACUAAAAAUAUAAGAAAAGUAAUACCUCAUAUAAUUACAUUCUAAUUUUAAUCAAAUCAAUAGAUUAACCAGAUUUUAAGAACAUAAUGGUCAUUAGGUGUUUUAAAUAUUUAAACUAAAUUAAUCAAAAUAAUAAAAUACAAUAAUAGUCAAUAAUUAGGAAGUUUGAAACAUCAUAUUUAAUGAGGCCAAUAACAACAAUAAUAGUCAAUAAUUAGGAAGUUUGAAACACUCACAAAAAUAUAUAUUUCAAAUCUCCCAACUCCAAAGCAGAAGGGCGGCUAUGUAAUCAUUCAAGUUCAUGAGGCGUGCAAAACUAAUUCAAUGUAUUGAAUUUAUGGCAACCUCUAUAUUAACAACCCAUUUCAUCGCCCUUCCACAUUUCAUCGCCCUUCCUCAUCAAUAUUCCAUGGCUCAAUGUUAUUUAUUAUGACUAUACAAAUCGAUAUUUCACAGGAAAUGUGCUUUCAAUUUUCAAUUUCAUUACUUUUUGUGCCAAUCUUUGGAUAGCUAAAUCAAUUUAAAUUGCAUAACUGAUUAUAUAAACAUCUUCUUAUUUUUCUAUUCCUCUUUUAUUCUUCAUCAAUCGAUAUCGUUCCAUUAUCAUCCAAUUUGGUCUGAUUUUAAAUCCUUGCAAAGAUCUUCAGAAUCAAAGGUACAUUGUGUUUGAUACUUUCGAAUCAAACCCUAUUUUUGAGUUUUUUGCUUUUUCAUCUUGAAUUUUGAAAUUUAGGUUUUUUUUUGCUUCACUAUUGAGAUGUUUCAUUUUUGUGUUGUGGUUGACAUUGGGAGAAUGAGAAGAAUACAGAUGGUUCCGAGCACGAAACAAAUGUCUUCCGCCAAAACAUGACUCAGAUUGGGAAAGUUGACGAAAUAUUGGUCUUGUAAAUGAAUCUUUGUCAUGGACGUUUGAGAAUGGAGGAAUGGGGCUAAAUUGGCGAUGAAAAUGGAUUUAAUCUCUUGAUUCUAAAAAAUUACAGCAAAAAUAUUGGACUUUCUCAUCGAUGCAAACAUCAGGCUUAGUGUAUGGACCACUUAUAUAGUUUCUCGCUUAUUUUACUAACCAUUUAAUCUGCAAACACACUAGAGGAGGAGUGAAUUAUGUUGAUUAAAAAUCAAAACCAAUUUGUAAAAAUUUAUUAUUUAAAAUAACUAUUUUGAUUUUGGUAAUCACACAUAAAUAAGACAGUAGAAAUAAAGAAAGAAUAUUAAGAUGAAGAGAUAGACAACAGAAAUAACAUAAACAAUAGAGAUAAGAGAUAGAAAAGAUGCACCAUAUUUCUAAAGGUUCAGCCUAACCACUUGGUUUACUCCUGUCUAUUUUUCUUCUUCUUGGAUGUAUCUAAUUAAAAUUAAUUUGAAAUUGGUAAUUAGAUUGACAUGGACACAAGAUCCACCUAAUCAAUCAGGGAGUCUUGUUCUAAUUUUAAAAUAGGCUUAAAGAAUAUGAAUUUAUACUGAAUUUUUAAAAAAGUCGGUAUAAAAUUACAGAUUUUGAAAACAAAUCAUGAUUUUACACUUAUUUUUAAAAAAUUGGUGUAAAAUAGAUCUUGAAAACGAACUAAAUUUACAUCUAUUUUUAAUAAAUAAGUGUGAAAUAGAUUUUGAAAACAUAUUGAUUUUACACCUGUUUAAGAAAUAGGUGUAAAAUGUAUUACUUUAUUGAUUAAAAAAACAAGUGGGACCCCAAAUUACGGGGUCAGUGCAACACUUGUUAAUGGUCGACCCUGCAUGGACAUUAUAAUUCAUUUGAAAUUGGUAAUUAGGGUGGCAUGAAAAUGUUGCACAAGGAAGCAGAGGACUAGCCAUGACACCAAUGUUUUUAGGAGUUGAAUACAUGACUCGUGUAAGUUAGGAUCCAUGUUUAUUCAAAAUGAUUGAAUAGCAUAAGAUUUUUUUAAAUUUAUGGAAUUAUUGUGAAGAUUAAUUUCCAUAAUCUUAAGUUUGAUUAGAAUUGGCUUUCUAAAAAUCUCGUUAUUGAAUAUUCUACAAGAAUUGUAAUUAUAAUUUCUUUAAUUGAUUAAUUAUUAAGUGCAUCAAACAACUUUGCUUGAAGCUUUAACCAUUAUUCAUUGCAUUGUCUAUCUCAUCAUUCUGCACAUUUGAUGUCAUACUUCCCUAAUAAAUCAUAAGAAGCGGGAGAGUGUGGCUACGCUGGAAGAUGAAUAUUUGAGGAGUGCAAAUAGAAGAUGAAUCAUUACCCUUGAGGGAAACGUGUACGUUUAUUUUACAUUUUAUAUUUGAGUGUAGUCAUUGUCAUUUUUUUAAUUAAUACUUGUGAGAAUUGGAUCGAACUCUAUUAUGUCGAAGGGUAGUUUCUGAUUUGACAGAGAAUAUGAAUGAGGUCGAAGCUUGUUCGCAUGCUGGUGUCGAAGACUUACAUACUGUAGUCAAAAUGUGUUCUAGUAUGUGGGUGUUGAAAUGCUAGGGUUGUUAGUAUUUUGAAUUGAGAUUGUUUGUUAUAUCCAAUUGUUUAAGUUAGAUUGUACCCUAAGUUAGCUUGUAAUGAGUAUUUGUGAAAAGGCCCAUUAGCUCAGUAUGUUAGGUUUAUUACAAAUAGCAUACUAGUCUCUCAUCAUUGUACACUACAAAUCCUAAUUUAGGGUGAGAGGGUUAUUUGUAGGGGUGGCAAAACAGGCCUGGCCCGUUGGGCAUGCCUGUUUUGCCUGCACUUUAGUGUGAGGCGGGCCAAGGAUUUAGGCCCUCAUCCUCUCGUGUGUCUGCAUCACCCUAUCCAAUUUUCUUCGCGGACAUGGUCAUUUAUAUAAACUUUUAUGUUUUUAGGCUUAAAAGGUGCAGUGCCCGCAGGCUUUUCUUGCCUCGCCCUUACUUUUUUGUACGGUGGGCCUAGAUUUUAGGCUCGCAUCCACCACUAUGCCCGCCUCGUCCCACUCCAUUUUUUGCGGGCUUUUGCGGGACGGACAUACCUGUUUGCCACCUCUAGUUAUUUGUUAUUCUUGUAACACUUGUAAUCUUGUUUCAAAGAGAAACUAAAGGAUUGGUAUUCUUUACUUUCUCUAUCAAUGAAGACUACAAGUGUUACAAGAGUAAUAAAUAACCUUCUCACCCAAAAUUAAGAUUUGCAGUGUGCAAUAAUGAGAGACUAGUAUGCUAUUUAUAAUAAAUCUAACAUACUAAUCUAAUGGGCUUUUUCACAAAUACUCAUUACAAGCUAACUUAAACAAUUGGAUGUUACAAAUAGGCUUAGUUCGAAAUACUAAAACUAGGGCUGUCAUUGAACCGAACCAACUCGAAAAUAGUUCGAAAUUCGGUUCAACAAUUAAAUCGUUGAACUAGGUUCAUAAAUCAAAUGAGUUGAAUAUGAGCUAAAAACUAAGUUCGUUAACUAAAUGAGCUGAAUUUGAACUAUACAUAGUUCGACUCGUUAGGCUUAUGAGUCAAAUAUAUUGUUUAUGAGAUGGAUUAUAUUGUUUUUAAGAGUAAGUUUAAAGAUUUGCUCCAAAUCUUAGUCCUAUAUUUUCUUUUAAUCAAAAAAUUUUAAUUGAUAAUUUAUAUUCUCAAUUGAGCAAAAUAUUUCUAAAAAUAAUUAUACAAAUAAAAUAAACGUCGUAUAAAUUUCAAUCUUAUAACUUAUAUUUUAUUUUUAUAUUUUAUAUUUUAAAAAAAUAUUAAUUUAAAAUGUCAAAUAUAUAAAAAGAAUAGACUUUAAAAAAAUGACUUUUAAGCCCGUGAAACAAACGAGUUGAACCUAACAAGUUGAACUGAGUUGUUCGUGAACUUCUAACGAGUCAAGUUUGAGUUGGAAAAAAAGUUUAUGACGAACUCGAACCGAUAUUUGAACUGAACUAAUUCUUAACGAGUCGAGCCGAGCUGAGGCGAGUUCGACUCGACUUAUUUCCAGCCCUACUAACAACCCUAACAUUUCGACACCCACAUACUUGAACACACUUCGACUACAGUAUAUAAGUCUUCGACAACAGCAUGCGAACAAGUUUCAACCUCAUGCAUAUUCUCUAACAAACCAGAAACUACUCUUCAACCUAAUAGAGUUCGAUCUAAUUCUAACUGUUUCUUUUUCCAUAUUGUAUGGAUAUUUCCUCUCAUUGAUUUUGCAACAAUAUUAUGUUGAGGGGGUGAAGAUUCUAUGAUAUGAAAACACAAAGGAGGAACCAAAAGAUUGCACAUGAAAAUUGGUUUCAGUGUUUAACAUUUGUAAGAUAUUUGUUAACAUUAAAUAAAAAGCUAUAAAAAGUGUUACAUACUAAACAUUAGCAAUAUUUUAUAAAAGUUAUUGGUGACACUUAAUACAUUUAAAAUAA